rnacentral:lncRNA from 1 species
GACGCAGUUAGUCGGCUGCAAUGGCGCCGGUGAGGCGGUCCGCGAAGUGGCGGCCUGGUGGUAUUGAGGCGCGUGGUGAAGGGGUUUCCACUGUCGGGUACAGGAAUAAGAAUGUGAGACAGAAGACAUGGCGGCCUAACCACCCGCAAGCCUUCGUGGGGAGCGUUCGCGAGGACAAGGCUUUGCUUUUCGAAGAAAACUGAAAAUACAGCAAAGUUACAAGAAAUUGCUACGGAAGGAAAAGAAGGCUCAAACGUCACUGGAAUCUCAAUUCACAGAUCGAUACCCAGAUAAUCUGAAACAUCUCUAUUUAGCUGAAGAGGAAAGACAUAGGAAGCAAGCAAGAAAAGUCGACCAUCCUUUGUCAGAACAAGUUCACCAGCCGUUGCUUGAAGAACAGUGUAGCAUUGACGAGCCUUUAUUUGAAGAUCAGUGUAGCUUUGACCAGCCUCAGCCAGAAGAACAAUGUAUUAAAACAGUAAAGUAUGUAUUUUCUU